rnacentral:rRNA from 1 species
UGCAAAGGGUUGCCAACCCGCGAGGGGGAGCUAAUCCCAUAAAGCCAGUCGUAGUCCGGAUCGCAGUCUGCAAUCUCGACUGCGUGAAUGUCGGAAUCGCUAGUAAUCGUGGAUCAGAAUGUCACGGUGAAUACGUUCCCGGGUCUUGUACACACCGCCCGUCACACCAUGGGAGCGGGUCUCGCCAGAAG